UUUGGCCAGUGGGCAGAAUCACACAAGUGUUCCCUGGUGCAGAUGGUCGAGUGCGGACUGCUAAUGUGGAGGUUAAGGGCAAGACUUAUACCCGUAUUGUGGCUCGACUUAUACAGCUUCCAGCUCUACCUGAGGACGAAUAAUGCAUGUUAUGGAUCUUUUGUCAGAUGAGCGAAUUCAGUUCUGAAUUCGGGGGCGGCUGUGCAAAAGGACCGCUGAUGUCUACGUCCCGGAUGACACCAACCAAUCAGUGCACAAUGCAACGCAGUAUCAUCGAGGUGGGCUGAGCUAAGAACUAGUUGAGAGCGACAGUGCACACGGGAGAUAACGCUGGCGAUAACACCUGCUAUCGAACUCACUCGGCAAAAAGAGACCAAACAGUCACUACUGGUAUACUGUGCUACAGUGUGCGUGUCUUAAAAAAACCACACAUAUGUUCCAUUGUAUACCAAGUGCUUCAGUAAAUGAAAAUCACAUCUAA